rnacentral:lncRNA from 1 species
CGGGAGAUUAGACCGUACCGGGACGAAUUGCGGCUGGGGAACUCCGACGAACGCCUCGGGACUUGCGAGACCUCCUGGGCUCCCUACCCCCUGUCGCGUCGCGCCCUGCUGCUUGGUGUUUCCUCUGCUCUUCGGGUCCCUCCUCCUCCCUCUGGAGAGAGAGAGGACUCCUGCAGCGACCGUGCAGGAUGCAGCGAGGCGGCGGCGGCGCACGGGGCUGGGGAGGGGCGAGCCAGGGCCGGGGGUGGGUGCGGUGUAGGCUGACUGCGGCGGAUUUGGUCGACGGCGGUGGCGGACGGGGUGCGGCGGCGGCGGCACGCGGGCGGCGGCGGCGUGCAGGGUGAGCGUGUGUGCGCGUUAGGGUUAGGCGCGCGUGUCGGGCCGGGCGGCAAAGAAAUAAGC